CUACCACAUGUAUGUCGAACGGCAGCACAGGAGUGCUUGCUCUCUUUGUGGCGAGUGGCGGACGCAUGAGGAAUACAUCGGAAUCUACUCUGUCGUGCCGGAUAACGUAGGGAAACUUACGCUAAUACCGCAUACGACCUACGGGUGAAAGCAGGGGAUCUUCGGAGUUUGCGCGAUUGAAUGAGCCGAUGUCGGAUUAGCUAGUUGGCGGGGUAAAGACCCACCAAGGCGACGAUCCGUAGCUGGUCUGAGAGGAUGAUCAGCCACACUGUAACUGAGACACGGUCCAGACUCCUACGGGAGGCAGCAGUGGGGAAUAUUGGACAAUGGGCGCAAGCCUGAUCCAGCCAUACCGCGUGGGUGAAGAAGGCCUUCGGGUUGUAAAGCCCUUUUGUUGGGAACGAGGUUCCAGCCGG
rnacentral:rRNA from 1 species